CUUAAAUGAUGAUACCACAAAGGUUUCGCAUUUAUCUGAUUCCAUCUUGACGAUAAACCUUGGCUGUCUGACAAA